ACUCAAAGGAAUUGACGGGGGCCCGCACAAGCAGAGGAGCAUGUGGCUUAAUUCGAUGCAACGCGAAGAACCUUACCCGGGUUUGACAUGCAGCUGCACGGCCGGUGAAAGCCGGCCUCCUUCGAGGGUGCUGCACAGGUGCUGCAUGGCUGUCGUCAGUUCGUGCCGUGAGGUGUUUGGUUAAGUCCAGCAACGAACGCAACCCCUGUGUCCAGUUGCCAGCGCGUAAUGGCGGGAACUCUGGACAGACUGCCCGUUCACACGGGAGGAAGGUGGGGAUGACGUCAAGUCAGUAUGGCCCUUACGUCCGGGGCUGCACACGUGCUACAAUGGCCGGCACAAAGGGAAGCGAAGCCGCGAGGCCGAGCCAAUCCCCAGAACCGGCCCCAGUUCAGAUUGGGGUCUGCAACCCGACCCCAUGAAGUCGGAUUUGCUAGUAACGGCGCAUCAGCUACGGCGCCGUGAAUACGUUCCCGGGCCUUGCACACACCGCCCGU
rnacentral:rRNA from 1 species